CUAAAUGUAGGCAUUGUUUUGAGAAUUGUCAGGUUAUAUUACUGUCCAUAAUGGUACCGAUCUCUUUUAAGUGUUUUCAAGGUUUUGCUACUAUGUUUGAAAUGUUAGUUUAGGUUUGAAAUCUGGAAUAUUAUAUGAGCAAAAAAUCACUCUAGGAUUAAUAUGUUUCUUUGUACAAAUAGUAAUCAGUUUGUCCAUUUAGCAAAAUUUGAAAAGUGAAAUUAAAAGGGUGUGGCCUGUAAGUUGAGUUGAAGGUUCGAGCUAAGAUCUUGUCCUUAUUGAAAGCCAUCCUUGUCGAAUUUGGGCUCAUCCUCAAGCCCAGGAAUUUGUUUAAAAUGAAUUUAAAUGUUGUUUGGUUAAUUUGUAUCAAAGAGUUUAAACCAUAAAUUCAAAUCGUUUAAUAUCAUGUUCAAGUGUUGGUGUCAAUUUGUGUUUGGU
rnacentral:lncRNA from 1 species